CGGGGCGUGGCGCAGUUUGGUAGCGCGCAUGGUUCGGGACCAUGAGGCCGUGGGUUCAAGUCCCGCCGCCCCGACCA
rnacentral:tRNA from 1 species